ensembl:lncRNA
AUGACUGCGCUUGCCCAAACAUCCUUCCUGCCCCCCUACCUUCUGGGGGUGCUGGGGUCCUGCCAUUCUCUCGACCUCUUCUCAUUCCUUCCCUACCCUGAGACUCCUAGGCCCCUUUACCACCCAGUGAGUGGCAGCACAGCUGGCUUGACAUCCAUCACCCCUUGUCUUGGUCCCCAUAGGAGGAGGAGAAUGGAGCUGAGGAAGAGGAAGAAGAAACUGCAGAGGAUGGAGAGGAUGAUGAUGAAGGGGAUGAAGAAGAUGAGGAAGAAGAAGAGGAGGAGGAUGAAGGCCCCGUGCGGAAGAGAACUGCUGAAGAGGAGGAUGAAGCAGACCCCAAGAGGCAGAAGACAGAAAACGGGGCGUCGGCAUGAACCCCUACCCGUGGGCUUGGGGAUGGGAGGCCCCUCAGGUCCUGGAGGUGGGGCAGGAACACACAAAUCCAGCCCCCCUUCUCCUGGCUCCCUGCUCUGGCCCUGCCCCAGAGCUGUGACCCUUGUCCUUUGACCCAGCCUCUCAUUUCCAUCUCUCCAGACACUGCUCCUUCACCCUCACUGCCACCGGUCCAGCUCCCGACCCGCCUCAUCCGAGCUCCCCAGCCAGCCCUCACUUGCCCUAGCAUUCUUGUUCUUCUUUCCUGCCUUCCCUCACCAUCCCAUAUGUUCCGGUCCCUGCGAAGCCUCUCCUUCCCCUCUGCACCCCGAGCCUCUCAGCCUGCCCUUCUUUCUCCUGCCUGACCCCUGGGUCUCCCUCAGAUUCCCUCCUCUCAGACAGCGCCAGGCCGGGGUGGGGCUGGGGUUGGGGCCAAGCCCCGAAGCUGCCCCCUCCCCUUUUUGUAUAAUUUAAUAAAGAAACGGUCGCGCUUCUGUUUUUAACCCGU